AGCCCUGUCGUCUAGAGGCCAAGGACUGCGGGCUUUGGACCCGCAUACGCCGGUUCGAAUCCGACCGGGGCUA
rnacentral:tRNA from 2 species